GACGAACGCUGGCGGCGUGGAUUAGGCAUGCAAGUCGCGCGACUCUUCGAGAGGAGCGGCGAACGGGUGAGUAACACGUGAACAACCUACCCCAUCAUUCCGGAUAAUUCACCGAAAGGUGUUGUAAUACGGGGGAGGGUCUCUGUGGGGCAUUCUACGGGGAUCGAACGAGCAAUCGGUGCUGGGGAGGGGUUCGCGGCUUAUCAGGUAGUUGGUGAGGUAAUGGCUCACCAAGCCUACGACGAGUAGCUGGUCUGAGAGGAUGGUCAGCCACAUUGGAACUGAGACACUGUCCAGACUCCUACGGGAGGCUGCAGUCGAGAAUCUUGGCAAUGCACGAAAGUGUGACCCAGCGACGCCGCGUGAAGGAUGAAGGCCCUCCGGGUCGUAAACUUC
rnacentral:rRNA from 1 species